AAAAAGUUAGUUAAUUUAUAACAUAAAUAUGUCAAGUUUAAAUUACUAAAAUCUAGUACUUUUUG
rnacentral:tRNA from 1 species